UCCCUGGUGGUCCAGUGGUUAAGACUCUGCACUUCUAAUGUAGGGUACACAGGUUCGAUACCUGGUCAGGGAA